rnacentral:rRNA from 1 species
GGGAAGUGGGACGACGUCAAGUCAGCAUGCCUUUAUAUCCAGGGCUACACACACGCUACAAUGGUCAGUACAAUGGGUUGCCAAGCCGCGAGGCGGAGCCAAUCCUAAAAAGCUGGCCUCAGUUCAGAUUGCAGUCUGAAACUCGACUGCAUGAAGUCGGAGUUGCUAGUAAACGCAGGUCAGCUAUACUGCGUUGAAUACGUUCCCGGGGCUU